rnacentral:rRNA from 1 species
UGUUUCGGCUAGGGGGCCAUCCCGGCUUACCAACCCGAUGCAAACUGCGAAUACCGGAGAAUGUUAUCACGGGAGACACACGGCGGGUGCUAACGUCCGUCGUGAAGAGGGAAACAACCCAGACCGCCAGCUAAGGUCCCAAAGUCAUGGUUAAGUGGGAAACGAUGUGGGAAGGCCCAGACAGCCAGGAUGUUGGCUUAGAAGCAGCCAUCAUUUAAAGAAAGCGUAAUAGCUCACUGGUCGAGUCGGCCUGCGCGGAAGAUGUAACGGGGCUAAACCAUGCACCGAAGCUGCGGCAGCGAACGUAUCACUUAAAGCGAUUCAGCGGGUUACGAUUGACGGAGCGAAGCGACGUCAAAGCGUAUACAAAGUCGAGUCGGUUUAAGGAUACGUUCGUUGGGUAGGGGAGCGUUCUGUAAGCCUGUGAAGGUGGCCUGUGAGGGUUGCUGGAGGUAUCAGAAGUGCGAAUGCUGACAUAAGUAACGAUAAAGCGGGUGAAAAGCCCGCUCGCCGGAAGACCAAGGGUUCCUGUCCAACGUUAAUCGGGGCAGGGUGAGUCGACCCCUAAGGCGAGGCCGAAAGGCGUAGUCGAUGGGAAACAGGUUAAUAUUCCUGUACUUGGUGUUACUGCGAAGGGGGGACGGAGAAGGCUAUGUUGGCCGGGCGACGGUUGUCCCGGUUUAAGCGUGUAGGCUGGUUUUCCAGGCAAAUCCGGAAAAUCAAGGCUGAGGCGUGAUGACGAGGCACUACGGUGCUGAAGCAACAAAUGCCCUGCUUCCAGGAAAAGCCUCUAAGCAUCAGG